CUCCGGUUGAUCCUGCCGGACCCGACUGCUAUCAGAGUGAGAUUAAGCCAUGCGAGUUAACGUAGCAAUACGUGGCGCACGGCUCAGUAACACGUAGUCAACAUGCCCAGAGGACGUGGAUAACCUCGGGAAACUGAGUCUAAACCGCGAUAAGUGAGGAUUUCUGGAAUGGUUCCUGACUAAAAUCUAUAUGGCCUCUGGAUUGGACUGCGGCCGAUCAGGCUGUUGGUGAGGUAAUGGCCCACCAAACCUGUAACCGGUACGGGCUCUGAGAGGAGGAGCCCGGAGAUGGGCACUGAGACAAGGGCCCAGGCCCUAUGGGGCGCAGCAGGCGCGAAACCUCUGCAAUAGGCGAAAGCCUGACAGGGUUACUCUGAGUGACUUUCGCUAAGAAAGUCUUUUGGCACCUCUAAAAAGGGUGCAGAAUAAGGGGUGGGCAAGUCUGGUGUCAGCCGCCGCGGUAAUACCAGCACCCCGAGUGGUCGGGACGAUUAUUGGGCCUAAAGCAUCCGUAGCCGGUUCUGCAAGUCCCCCGUUAAAUCCAGCUGCUCAACAGAUGGGCCGCGGAGGAUACUACAGAGCUAGGAGGCAGGAGAGGCAAGCGGUACUCAGUGGGUAGGGGUAAAAUCCGUUGAUCCAUUGAAGACCACCAGUGGCGAAGGCGGCUUGCCAGAAUGCGCUCGACGGUGAGGGAUGAAAGCUGGGGGAGCAAACCGGAUUAGAUACCCGGGUAGUCCCAGCCGUAAACGAUGCAGACUCGGUGAUGGGUUGGCUUCGCGCUAACCCAGUGCCGCAGGGAAGCCGUUAAGUCUGCCGCCUGGGUAGUACGGUCGCAAGACUGAAACUUAAAGGAAUUAGCGGGGGAGCA
rnacentral:rRNA from 1 species